rnacentral:rRNA from 1 species
AGGGGAGGGUCAUUGGAAACUGGGGAACUUGAGUGCCCAUGAAGAGAGCGGAAUUCCACGUGUAGCGGUGAAAUGCAUAUAGAUGUGGAGAGAACACCAGUGGCGAAGGCUUCUUUUUGGUCUGUAACUGACGCUGAGAGCGCGAAAGCGUGGGGAGCAAAAAGGAUAAUAUACCCUGUGAUUCCCCGCCGUAAACAAUGAGUGCUAAGUGUUAUAGGGUUUCCCCCCUUUAGUGCUGCAGCUAACGCAUUAUGCACUCCGCGUGGGGAGUGCGGUCGCAAGACUGAAACU